rnacentral:rRNA from 1 species
UACAGAGGUCUCAAGCGUUUGUUCGGAUUCAUUGGGCGUAAAGGGUGCGUAGGCGGCGCGGUAAGUCGGGUGUGAAAUCUCGGAGCUUAACUCCGAAACUGCAUUCGAUACUGCCGUGCUUGAGGACUGGAGAGGAGACUGGAAUUUACGGUGUAGCGGUGAAAAUGCGUAGAUAUCGUAAGGAAGACCAGUGGCGAAGGCGGGUCUCUGGACAGUUCCUGACGCUGAGGCACGAAGGUCAGGGGGAGCAAAACGGGG